rnacentral:rRNA from 1 species
UUAAAUGAGAGUUUGAUCCUGGCUCAGGACGAACGCUGGCGGCGUGCCUAAUACAUGCAAGUAGAACGCUGAAGAAAGGAGCUUGCUUCUUUUGGAUGAGUUGCGAACGGGUGAGUAACGCGUAGGUAACCUGCCUUGUAGCGGGGGAUAACUAUUGGAAACGAUAGCUAAUACCGCAUAAUAGCUUUUGACACAUGUUAGAAGCUUGAAAGAUGCAAUUGCAUCACUACGAGAUGGACCUGCGUUGUAUUAGCUAGUAGGUAGGGU